GUAGACAUAGUUUAAUAAAGACGUUAGAUUGUGAUUCUAAAAAUAGGAGAUAAAACCCCCUUGUCAACC
rnacentral:tRNA from 1 species